AAGACCUUGCGCUUUUGGAGCGGCCGAUGCCUGAUUAGCUAGUUGGUGGGGUAAUGGCCUACCAAAGCUUCGAUCAGUAGCUGGUCUGAGAGGACGGCCAGCCACACUGGGACUGAGACACGGCCCAGACUCCUACGGGAGGCAGCAGUGGGGAAUUUUGGACAAUGGGCGCAAGCCUGAUCCAGCCAUGCCGCGUGAGUGAAGAAGGCCUUCGGGUUGUAAAGCUCUUUCAGCCGGGAAGAAAAGGUUGCGAUUAAUAAUCGCAAUUUAUGACGGUACCGGAAGAAGAAGCACCGGCUAACUACGUGCCAGCAGCCGCGGUAAUACGUAGGGUGCGAGCGUUAAUCGGAAUUACUGGGCGUAAAGGGUGCGCAGGCAGUUUUGUAAGUCAGAUGUGAAAUCCCCGGGCUUAACCUAGGAACU
rnacentral:rRNA from 1 species